rnacentral:rRNA from 1 species
AGGGUUUCAAAUAUGUACGCUGAUGGCUGUCUCGGGGUUACAGCCUUGCUGAAUUAUUCACCCUUGUCUUUUGCGUACUUCUUGUUUCCUUGGUGGGUUCCCCCACCACUAUGACAAACAUGAACCUUUUGAAAUUGCAAUCAGCGACAGUAACAAAUUAAUAAUUACAACUUUCAACAACGGAUCUCUUGGAUCUGGCAUCAAUGAAAAACGCAGCGAAAUGCGAUAAGUAGUGUGAAUUGCAGAAUUCAUUGAAUCAUCUAAUCUUUGAACGCACAUUGCGCCCUUUGGUAUUCCAAAGGGCAUGCCUGUUCCAGCGUCAUUUGUACCCUCAAGCUUUGCUUGGUGUUGGGCGUCUUGUCUCUAGCUUUGCUGGAGACUCGCCUUAAAGUAAUUGGCAGCCGGCCUACUGGUUUCGGAGCGCAGCACAACUCCCACUCUCUAUCACCAAAGGUCUAGCAUCCACUAAGCCUUUUUUUCAACUUUUGACCUCGGAUCAGGUAGGGAUACCCGCUGAACUUAAGCAUAUCAAUAAGCGGAGGAA